rnacentral:lncRNA from 1 species
CAUCGCGCCAGUCUGCGAUCGUCGCAAGGUCCGUGGGGACCCACGUCACUUCCAGGGGGGUGAGAAGCGGCAACAACGGCGGCGUUCCUCCAGCGAGGAGGUGGGCAGCCUCCAGCCCGAAUGGCCAGAGUACUGCCCAUGGGAGCUUAUCGCGCCAUGGGUCCAGGAUGUCCGCAGGGUGGGCGACCCUCGGAGUCACCGGUGGGAGGACACAGAUGACGAAAGCGAUGAUGACGUGGAUUUUCGGUGGGCGGUCGGUGCCUGGAUGGCUCCGCCCAGCGUGCGCGUCCGAGAUCAUCGCGGCGUCCGUGAUGACCCAUGUGACUUCCGGGGGUACGAGGUUGACACGGACGACGACCAGGAUGACGCCGUUUGGGCAGUCGGUGCCGGGAUGGCUCCGCCCAUUGCGCCCAUCCAGGAUCGUCACGAGGUCCGUGGAGACCCACGUCCCUCCCAGCAGUGUGAGGAAAGCUGGUGGAAGAGGGCGACGGGAGGUCGCCAGCCAGCAACUGCGCUGCCGGGACUGCCUCGCAGGGAAUCCUCCAUUCCUGCUCCAGUCGCCGACCCGCUUUCCCUCUGCCCGGACGUUCCCCAGCGAAAUGGCAGCGCAGCACCAGCGCCCACACCUGCUGGAGAAGACGUCCACCCCCCUCCACACCACACACCUACCACCAUCUCCAGCGACGUGCCCAGCCCCGUGUGGGACAGCCCAAUUGUCCCGGGACCCUUCAGUGGGGCAGCAGACACAGACGAGAUCACUACCAUCCUCACGUGUCUGACUGGAUCAGCAUGGGGCUGGAGCACAACCCUCUGGCAGCAGGGAGAGACAGACAGGAGUUUUCGGGACUUCCAACAGAGACUGAGGGCGGAGUUUGAUCGGCCUGAGCCAGGGAUCGAACUCUGCCCCUCCACCACAUCCAGUGCCAGUCAGGAUCCGGGGCAAGAAGACCCAGCACUGGUGGGCGACGAGAAGGUCGCUCCUCCCGAGAUCCUGGCUGUGCCCCCUGAGGAGGUCCCGGAGAGCCCAGAGAGGGAGCCAGACGACCCUCUCUUCUGUCUGUCUCUGUCUGUGUGUGUCUGUGUGGCAUAUGUGUCCGUAUGUCGCCCCCACUUCCCCUCUUUGUGUCCAC